UACCCUUGACAUGUCUGGAAUCCCGAAGAGAUUUGGGGGUGCUCGCAAGAGAACCGGAACACAGGUGCUGCAUGGCUGUCGUCAGCUCGUGUCGUGAGAUGUUGGGUUAAGUCCCGCAACGAGCGCAACCCUUGUCAUUAGUUGCUACGAAAGGGCACUCUAAUGAGACUGCCGGUGACAAACCGGAGGAAGGUGGGGAUGACGUCAAGUCCUCAUGGCCCUUAUGGGUAGGGCUUCACACGUCAUACAAUGGUCGGGACAGAGGGUCGCCAACCCGCGAGGGGGGAGCUAAUCUCAGAAACCCGAUCGUAGUCCGGAUUGUAGGCUGUAAUUCGCCUGCAUGAAGUCGGAAUCGCUAGUAAUCGCGGAUCAGAAUGUCGCGGUGAAUACGUUCCCGGGUCUUGUACACACCGCCCGUCACACCAUGGGAGUGGGUUUCACCAGAAGUAGGUAGCCUAACCGUAAGGAGGGCGCUUACCACGGUGGGAUUCAUGACUGGGGUGAAGUCGUAACAAGGUAAGCGUAGUGCU
rnacentral:rRNA from 1 species